GGAUCCCCCACCUCCCGACCCAGCCCCGGCCACCAACCACCCCACGCCGCCCGCCGCCGGCCACCACCCCGCGCCGCCCGCUGCCCGCCCACUUCCUCCCCACCUUCUUCGCCACCGGCUGCCGAGCUGGCCGCCGCGCCCACCCCCUACUACUACCUUCUUCCUCCUUGAGCACAAUCCCACCCCUACCGCUUCCUACCCAUGGCGAGCCGCGUGUCGAUCGUCGUUCGCCAUCUUUUCCCCCAUCCCUUCUUCCUUCCAGGCGGCUACAUGAUGGCGAGGUCACCAGAUCCGCUCCUCCCCGGUCGCUGGUGCCGUGCCGCACCUCCCUAGGCCCCCGCCGAGCCGCCCCACUCUAGGCCCCUCUCGCGUCGCCCCUCUGCAAUCCGCCGCCGCCCCACCCCUCCCGAGGCCCCCGCCGAGACGCCGCCGCUCCAACCCUCCCCCAGGCCACCGCCAUGCCGCCCCUCUACAAGUCGCCGCCGCGCCACCCCUCCUGAGGCCCCCACUAACAAGUCCUCGCAUGCCUACCACUGCUCCCCCUGCCAGCUCCGCCCGACCCGGUGCUGCUCGGCCGCUCUCCGCCAUCCGCGGCGAGCCCUGGCAACCGGAUCCGGGGACCCUUCCAGUGGGGCCGCCGGCCAUGCCGCGCCGCCGCCAGAGCCCUAGCCCCGCCCGAUGGCGCGGGUGGGUGCUGCACAGGGCGCAUGGCCCGUCGCCGACGACCCCAACAGUCCACCAUUGCAGCUCGUGUCGGAUCACCCCGUACCCUUGCAUCAGAUUUCGCUUGGGCACAAAAAAUGGAGUUCGCCUGGGUCUUCGGUGCACCGUGAAGUGCGCGCGGUGCUGGCAUGCAGCGCUCAUGGAUCUGGCGUGCAGUGCAGUGCACCCCGGACCCUUUGCUUCAGGCGUUGUGAUGUUCUGUACACGCUGGCCUGCAGCUCGCCCCCCUUGCAGCGUGCAGUUUUAUUUUGCCAACAGGGAAUUUGAUGGCCAAGCACCCCUCGUGCUCAUCUUUUUGCAUGCGGUUCCCUUGUACUAUAAGUUGGUUUCACUUUUGUAUAUGCCAGAACAAAGAAGCAUCGUCAAAAAAACAAAGAAGCAUCAUGUGCGUGGGGUUCGUUUUGUAUAUGCUUGCAAUGCGGUGUGUGUAUGUGUGCAGUACUCCCCAUUUUCAGAAAACAAAUUGUAUUGUCGCAUGUGGCCAUUUCACUUGUUUUCCGUAUGCUUGCAAUGUGGUGUAUGUAUGUUUGCAGUGUUCCUGUGGUUCCCUUUGUAAAAAUAUUCUCUUUGUAAAAACAAUAAAAAAUCAACACACAAGAAGUUCGUUUCUAUUUA